rnacentral:rRNA from 1 species
GACGAACGCUGGCGGCGUGCUUAACACAUGCAAGUCGUACGGUAAGGCCCUUUCGGGGGUCCACGAGUGGCGAACGGGUGAGUAACACGUGAGUAACCUGCCCACAACUUUGGGAUAACGCUAGGAAACUGGUGCUAAUACUGGAUAUGUGCUCCUGCUGCAUGGUGGGGGUUGGAAAGCUCCGGCGGUUGUGGAUGGACUCGCGGCCUAUCAGCUUGUUGGUGGGGUAGUGGCCUACCAAGGCGGCGACGGGUAGCCGGCCUGAGAGGGUGACCGGCCACAGUGGGACUGAGAUACGGCCCAGACUCCUACGGGAGGCAGCAGUGGGGAAGAUUGCACAAUGGGCGCAAGCCUGAUGCAGCAACGCCGCGUGCGGGAUGACGGCCUUCGGGUUGUAAACCGCUUUCAGCAGGGACGAAGCUUUUUGUGACGGUACCUGCAGAAGAAGCACCGGCUAACUACGUG